AACACAAACUACCUACUAUUAACAACAACAAUAUACCCCCCAAAAUGAGAGCAUUAUUAGUGAUGGUAUGCAUUCUCCUGGCUUCCACUCUCUUUAUCCCUACUUCCACCAUGGCUCUACAACUUGGGGAGAAGGACAUCAAUGAUCCACCAGUGUUUACCACUCCUAAUUGUGGCCGUGGAAAGCCUUAGAAGAACUGCAUACCAGCUACAACUCCUCCUAAGAUCCCACCCUGUUCCGUUUAUAACCGCCACGGCUGCUAAGAGUAGCCAGCUAAACCUUGAAUGUAAUGGGCAAGCUAUAGGAUCCAUUGGCGAAAUUGUAAUGUGAAUAUAUAAAAACCAGAUCAUGAAGUUGCAUUACCUGCCCAUGAUUUGUGUUUUCUUCAAGACUAUUAUGUAGUUUGUUUCAUCAUAUGUAGUGUGUCUGCAAUAACGAGUUACUAUGAGCUCAUCAACAUUGGCUUCUCAAGGCUUUCAAUUACUCUUCCA